UAGGGAAUCUUCGGCAAUGGACGGAAGUCUGACCGAGCAACGCCGCGUGAGUGAAGAAGGUUUUCGGAUCGUAAAGCUCUGUUGUGAGAGAAGAACGUUGGUAGGAGUGGAAAAUCUACCAAGUGACGGUAACUAACCAGAAAGGGACGGCUAACUACGUGCCAGCAGCCGCGGUAAUACGUAGGUCCCGAGCGUUGUCCGGAUUUAUUGGGCGUAAAGCGAGCGCAGGCGGUUCUUUAAGUCUGAAGUUAAAGGCAGUGGCUUAACCAUUGUACGCUUUGGAAACUGUAGGACUUUAGUGCAGCAGGGGAUCGUGGUCUUCCAUGUGUAUCGGUGAAAUUCGUAGAUAUAUGGAGGAACACCGGUGUCGAAAGCGGCUCUCUGGUCUGUAAAUGACGCUGAGGCUCGAAAGCGUAGGGAGCAAACAGG
rnacentral:rRNA from 1 species